UUUGAUCCUGGCUCAGGACGAACGCUGGCGGCGUGCCUAAUACAUGCAAGUCGAGCGAACCACUUCGGUGGUUAGCGGCGGACGGGUGAGUAACACGUGGGCAACCUGCCUGUAAGACUGGGAUAACUUCGGGAAACCGGAGCUAAUACCGGAUAAUCCUUUUCCUCUCAUGAGGRAAAGCUGAAAGACGGUUUCGGCUGUCACUUACAGAUGGGCCCGCGGCGCAUUAGCUAGUUGGUGAGGUAACGGCUCACCAAGGCGACGAUGCGUAGCCGACCUGAGAGGGUGAUCGGCCACACUGGGACUGAGACACGGCCCAGACUCCUACGGGAGGCAGCAGUAGGGAAUCUUCCACAAUGGACGAAAGUCUGAUGGAGCAACGCCGCGUGAGCGAUGAAGGCCUUCGGGUCGUAAAGCUCUGUUGUUAGGGAAGAACAAGUACCGGAGUAACUGCCGGUAC
rnacentral:rRNA from 1 species